rnacentral:rRNA from 1 species
AAUAUUGGACAAUGGGGGCAACCCUGAUCCAGCCAUGCCGCGUGUGUGAAGAAGGUCUUCGGAUUGUACAGCACUUUAAGUUGGGAGGAAGGGCUUUAGGCUAAUACCCUGAAGUUUUGACGUUACCAACAGAAUAAGCACCGGCUACCUCUGUCCCAUCAGCCGCGGUAAUACAGAGGGUGCAAGCGUUAAUCGGAAUUACUGGGCGUAAAGCGGGCGUAGGUGGGUCAGUAAGAUGGGUGUGAAAUACCCGGGCUUAACCUGGGAACUGCUUUCAUAAAUGCUGAGCUAGAGUACGGUAGAGGGUAGUGGAAUUUCCUGGGUAGCGGUGAAAUGCGUAGAUAUAGGAAGGAACACCAGUGGCGAAGGCGACUACCUGGACUGAUACUGACACUGAGGUGCGAAAGCGUGGGGAGCAAACA